AAGUCGUAACAAGGUUUCCGUAGGUGAACAGGUUUGCCUACUUUAACCCCGGCAGCGACUUGGAAAAAAAAUUGCCAUGAUCGACACCACCCGGCGUCGAUGACAUCGUUCAAUUGCUGAAAAUGCUCGGCGUUUCGCCCUCCCAAUAUCAGCAGCCACGGCUCGGUCGUGGUCCACAGGUCAAACUACGAUGCCCUAUUAAGCGGUAAGAUAUGAUCGGUUCGUGCCCGAGAUCGGGGUCGCGAAGCGCGGAACCUGCGGAAGGAUCAUUACCGAGAGAAAGGGGUCUAACCGGCCCCACUCUUCACCCAUGUAUAUCUACCUCUGUUGCUUUGGCGGGCCACCCGAGCCUAUCGGCUCGGGCGCUGGUCGAGGGGUUCACGCCCCCAGCCCGGUGAGCGCUCGCCAGAAGCCCCCACUAAAAACCUUUUAUCAUGACGUCUGAGUGAAAAUAAACAGUCAAAACUUUCAACAACGGAUCUCUUGGUUCUGGCAUCGAUGAAGAACGCAGCGAAAUGCGAUAAGUAAUGUGAAUUGCAGAAUUCAAUGAAUCAUCGAAUCUUUGAACGCACAUUGCGCCCUCUGGUAUUCCGGGGGGCAUGCCUGUCCGAGCGUCGUUACAACCCUCAAGCACUGCUUGGUAUUGGGUUCCGCCUCCCCGGCGCACCCGAAAUACAGUGGCGGUCCGGCGAGACAUCGAGCGUAGUAAGAUUUAUAUCCCGCUCUUGAUGGCUCUCGCGGUGACUUAGCCAACGACGUAUCUAUUAUCACGAUUGACCUCGGAUCAGGUAGGGAUACCCGCUGAACUUAAGCAUAUCAAUAAGCGGAGGAAAAGAAACCAACAGGGAUUGCCUCAGUAACGGCGAG
rnacentral:sRNA from 1 species